GACGAACGCUGGCGGCGUGCCUAAUACAUGCAAGUUGAGCGCUGAAGGUUGGUACUUGUACCAACUGGAUGAGCAGCGAACGGGUGAGUAACGCGUGGGGAAUCUGCCUUUGAGCGGGGGACAACAUUUGGAAACGAAUGCUAAUACCGCAUAAAAACUUUAAACACAAGUUUUAAGUUUGAAAGAUGCAAUUGCAUCACUCAAAGAUGAUCCCGCGUUGAAUUAGCUAGUUGGUGAGGUAAAGGCUCACCAAGGCGAUGAUACAUAGCCGACCUGAGAGGGUGAUCGGCCACAUUGGGACUGAGACACGGCCCAAACUCCUACGGGAGGCAGCAGUAGGGAAUCUUCGGCAAUGGACGAAAGUCUGACCGAGCAACGCCGCGUGAGUGAAGAAGGUUUUCGGAUCGUAAAACUCUGUUGGUAGAGAAGAACGUUGGUGAGAGUGGAAAGCUCAUCAAGUGACGGUAACUACCCAGAAAGGGACGGCUAACUACGUG
rnacentral:rRNA from 1 species